GACGAACGCUGGCGGCGUGCCUAAUACAUGCAAGUCGAACGCAGUGGGGACGGGUGAGUAACACGUGGGUAACCUCCCAUCAGAGGGGAUAACACUUGGAAACAGGUGCUAAACCGAUACUGAUGGAUGGACCCGCGGUGCAUUAGCUAGUUGGUGAGGUAACGGCUCACCAAGGCCACGAUGCAUAGCGGAUCGGGGAGGGGGAUGGGCCACACGUGGACUUGGACCCGUCCCAUAUCCUUACGGGGUGCAGCAGUAGGGAAUCGUCGGCAAUGGACGAAAGUCUGACCGAGAAACGCCGCGGGAGUGAAGAAGGUUUUCGGAUCUUAAAACUCUGUGGUUAGAGAAGCGGUAUCUAACCAGAAAGCCACGGCUAACUACGGGCCAGCAGCCGCGGUAAUCC
rnacentral:rRNA from 1 species